rnacentral:rRNA from 1 species
UACGUAGGCAGCAAGCGUUGUUCGGAGUUACUGGGCGUAAAGGGUGCGUAGGCGGCCUUAUAAGUCUGGUGUGAAAUCUCCCGGCUUAACUGGGAGGGUGCGCUAUAGACUGUGGGGCUAGAGUGUGGGAGAGGAAAGUGGAAUUCCUGGUGUAGCGGUGAAAUGCGUAGAUAUCAGGAGGAACACCGGUGGUGUAAACGGCUUUCUGGACCAUAACUGACGCUGAGGCGCGAAAGCCAGGGGAGCGAACGGG